GGGCUGGCUCUUUUAGCCUGGGGCUUAGGGCUGCUACUCUGCCACUGGAACCAGAAAUGAGGCAAAGCGCACAUCCUGGCUGCUGUGUCUUUCUUUCCUCUUCUUGCCAAACUUCUCCCUCCUCCCCCUAACUCUUUUCUUCUUUCUGACCCCAAGAGAGUAGCAGUGUCUGUGAUUCUGACGCUAUGGAGCACUGAAAUUCUAGGAUCCCUUGGAAAAGGCUGUUUCACACUCACAGUCUGGCUUCAAUUCUCCACAACUCUUCCCACACCGAGCCCCCUCCCCCACAGGACUCCACACCCUCCUUUCUUUCAACCAGACUCACUCCCGUCCUCAUCUCAGUUGACACAAGCCCAAGGGUCUUAUUCCAGGGGUGGCACAGAAGGUGGAGACAAAGCCUGGCCAGAGCAAGAACACCGUGACAGCUUUGACUAUUCCUACAACACUCUUACCUGCUGCUAAAGAAUCAGUAAGAAUGGUGUGGUCAAGCUGGCAGAGAACCUCACACCACAAGUCCUGAGGAAGGCCAUGCUGGGAGGCCACUACAAGGAAUUCAUUUAGCAACAAAUAAAAUGUGGUGUCACGUGUGGUU